GAUAGUUAAGAUUGAACUAGCAGAUGAGAAUCCUAGUCAUUGGCCAAGUAGCUUUGAAUCUAAUACAUGUUUCUGUGUAUUCAUUUGGGCCUAACUCGGGCUGGCGUAAAGCUCACAUGCAGCGGUGGGGCUCAGGCGGCUUUUGGCAGAAAGAUUUAUCAUAACACCAGCCUCUUUUGGUCCCUUUGCUAUCCCAGUUCCUAGGGCUCGCCUGACAUUCAAAAGGUGCUCAGUAAACAUUGAUGCGUGGUUGGCUGAAUUAAUAAUAGAUGGACGUGAGGUUCACUGGCCAUCAGUCCGAGGUGUCAGGUACAGGGGCGCUCACUGAAAGGCUUUCUCUAACUGCUCCUUCCUCCUUUCUUCUUCAGCAACGUGAGGAUGUGGACUAUAGACCUGACUUCUGGGUCCCAGGCCUGAGAAGCUCUCAGAAUAUCAGCCAGUGCCAGAAAGCCUUUCCCCUAGUGGCUAAGCAACCCUCCAUUGCUCAUUCUGCUUUCUGCUCUCUUUAAAGGGGACAGUGUGACCAGAAGUGGCUGGUGGCCUUUGCAACAGCAGGGGGAUUUGGGAGAGGAUGUCCCAGAGUGCCUCCGUGGCUGUGAGAAAUGGCUGAAGCAUAAGCACAAGGAAGACAUUUUGGGGAACAUCAUCGUUCACCUCGGGAGUGAUGGGUGGUCGGCUGUGUGAAGAUGAAGCUCAGUAUCUCCUUCCCCACCAUCAGAACCACCAGAAACUCAAGCUUUGGACAUUCUGUGAGAAUCGCAUAGCCACAGAGGUAGCUGCUGAUGCUCUGGGGGAAGAGUAGAAGGGUUGUGUGGUCCAAUUCAGUGGCAGGAAUGACAAGGUUUUCACAUAAAGCAAGGUCUUUUGACCCAUGACAGAGAACACCUGCUGUUGAUUAAGGGGCAUUUUUGUUACAGACCAAGGAGAACUGGAGAGAGGAAGCACUGAGGAUACAUCAUGGAUGCCAAUCUGAGUGUUCUCAACUUGGUUAUUAUAAAAAAAAGAGAGAGAGAGAGAGAGAGAGAGAAAGAGAGAGAAGGAUAUUCUGGGACUAACAGAUACUACUGGUUCCUCAUCAGUUGGGACCUAAAAGAGCUAGCAGACUCUGAAAGCUUUUUAAUCUCUCUAAAGAUGAUUUCUACCAAUAUGUGGGAAAGCCUUUAAACAAAAAAGGGUUUCUGUUUCGACGCCUCUCCACAUGAGGCCUGAUGCAGCUCUCACCGAAUGGAAAAACCUGUCCCCAACUCACCCAACCCAGCCUGCC
rnacentral:lncRNA from 1 species